GACGAACGCUGGCGGCGUGCUUAACACAUGCAAGUCGAACGGAAAGGCCUGCUUUCCCUUGUGGAUUGCGGGUACUCGAGUGGCGAACGGGUGAGUAACACGUGAGUGAUCUGCCCCCAACUUGGGUAUAAGCCGGGGAAACUGGGUCUAAUUCCCGAUAGCACUGCAGGGUGGUGCCGGUGGUGGAAAACGAUGUUCUAGUGGUUGGGGAUGAGCUCGCGGCCUAUCAGCUUGUGGGUGGGGUAAUGGCCUACCAAGGGGGCGACGGGUAGCCGGCCUGGGAGGGUGGACGGCCAAAUUGGGACUGCGAUACGGCCCAGACUCCUACGCGCGGCAGCAGUGGGGAAUAUUGCGCAAUGAGCGGAAGCCUAAUGCAGCGACGCCGCGUGGGGGAUGCCGGCCUUCGGGUUGUAGCCUCCUUUCGGCCGAGAGGAAGCGACCUGGUUGGAAGGGUGGUGACGGUAGUGGUAGAAGAAGCACCGGCUAACUACGUG
rnacentral:rRNA from 1 species